UGGUGCUAUAUGGGGAGCUAGCGGUGCCCUGUGACUCGCAAUCCGCUACAGCGAGAUAGACCGCCGUCCGAGGCUAUAUUGGAUUUGUGCAGUAGGGUUUUAAAGACUGUUGAUAACAAGGUCUUAAGCAAUGUCGAGCCGCGAACCGUGUCAGAGUAGAGAUACAGCAGCACUAAGUGGAUUUCGUUUCAUGUGCCUUAAGGUAGCUUUGCAGGAGGUCUUUAAGGUCAAGUACGACAGGGCUUGUAUAGUCAGAGACGGUGCAUCA
rnacentral:SRP_RNA from 1 species